rnacentral:tRNA from 1 species
GCUUCGAUAGUGUAAUGGACCACCACGACAGACCGGAUAUCUGUAAGUGCGGGUUCGAGUCUCGUCUGAGGUU